UACGAAGGGGGCUAGCGUUGUUCGGAAUUACUGGGCGUAAAGCGCACGUAGGCGGAUAUUUAAGUCAGGGGUGAAAUCCCGGGGCUCAACCCCGGAACUGCCUUUGAUACUGGGUAUCUAGAGUCCGGAAGAGGUGAGUGGAAUUCCGAGUGUAGAGGUGAAAUUCGUAGAUAUUCGGAGGAACACCAGUGGCGAAGGCGGCUCACUGGUCCGGUACUGACGCUGAGGUGCGAAAGCGUGGGGAGCAAACAGGAUUAGAAACCCUGUAGUCC
rnacentral:rRNA from 1 species